GGGCAUGUGGUGUAAUGGCAACAUUCGGGUACUCAUUAACUAGCAUCCCGAGCUGUCGGUUCAAACCCGACCGUGUCUA